rnacentral:miRNA from 1 species
UUUCUAGAGAUGAGCAUAUAU